CAAUAGCGUAUAUUAAAGUUGUUGCGGUAAAAAAGCUCGUAGUUGGAUUUCUACCGAAGAUAGCCGGUCGGGUCUUCGACCUUGUAUCUGGUUUUGUCUUUGGUAUCCUCAUAGGGAACGUUUCUGCGCUUUAUUGCGUGGUGCGGUAUCUAUGACUUUUACUUUGAGGAAAUUAGAGUGUUCACGGCAGGCAAACGCCUUGAAUAUAUUAGCAUUGAAUAAUAACAUAGGAUCUUCGUCCUAUUUUGUUGGUUUCUAGGGCUAAGAUAAUGAUUAAUAGGGAUAAUUGGGGGCAUCUGUAUCAACGCGUCAGAGGUGGAAUUCUUGGAUUGCGUUGCGACAAACUACUGCGAAAGCAUUUGCCAAGGAUGUUUUCAUUGA
rnacentral:rRNA from 1 species